UACGAAGGGGGCUAGCGUUGUUCGGAUUUACUGGGCGAAAGCGCACGUAGGCGGACUAUUAAGUCAGGGGUGAAAUCCCGGGGCUCAACCCCGGAACUGCCUUUGAUACUGGUAGUCUUGAGUUCGAGAGAGGUGAGUGGAAUUCCGAGUGUAGAGGUGAAAUUCGUAGAUAUUCGGAGGAACACCAGUGGCGAAGGCGGCUCACUGGCUCGAUACUGACGCUGGAGGUGCGAAAGCGUGGGGGAGCAAACAGG
rnacentral:rRNA from 1 species